ACCUUGAUGUAGCUCACAUGAAUUCAGCAACUGUGAUAGCAGUGUAGGUGGUUAGCAGUACUUCAGAAGGUCAUUCCUAGCAAGGGCUGCUAAUGGCUAGCCAAUGCUCUAGGAAGACAUUGAAACCAGUCAACUUCUUGCCUUGAUACUACUGAAGGCACAUUGGGUGGCUGGACUUUGAAAGCAGGCUUCUGGUUAUAGGUGAUGCAACUUGCAAAACAAUCCUAAAAUAUGAAACAAGAAUAAUAAUAUUUAAAUGUAACAUAAUCAUUAUACUUUUUUACCCAUCAAAGUGAAUUCAUUUCAUUCUCUUUCAUCUGUGCUCAUACUUUGCAUCAAAUAUUGGGUAAACUAAAGUGUAUAGGAAGAAAUAAAUGUUUUCAUAGUCAUUACUCUACAAUGGGAGUGCUAAAAUUCAAGCACAUCUUUUUCAGAAGCUUUGUUAAAUCCAGUGGAGUAUCCCAGAUAGUUUUCACCUUCCUUCUGAUUCCAUGUUCCUUGACUCUGAAUUUCAGAGCACCCCCUAUUAUCCCAAAUGUGCCUUUUCUCUGGGCCUGGAAUGCCCCAUCUGAAUUUUGCCUUGGAAAAUUUGAUGAGCCACUAGAUAUGAGCCUCUUCUCUUUAAUAGGAAGCCCCCGAAUAAACGUCACCGGGCAAGGUGUUACAAUAUUUUAUGUUGAUAGACUUGGCUACUAUCCUUAUGUAGAUCCAACGACAGGAGCAAUUGUGCAUGGAGGAAUCCCCCAGAAGAUACCCUUAAAAGAUCAUUUGGACAAAGCUAGGAAAGACAUUAUUUUUUAUAUGCCAGUAGACAAUCUGGGAAUGGGUGUUAUUGACUGGGAAGAAUGGAGACCCACUUGGGUAAGAAACUGGAAACCUAAAGAUAUUUACAAGAAUAAGUCUAUUGAGAUGGUUCAGCAACGAAACCCACAACUUAGUCUCACACAAGCCACUGAUAUGGCAAAACAAGAAUUUGAAAAGGCAGCAAAGGAUUUCAUGCUAGAGACUAUAAAACUGGGAAAAGCACUUCGGCCAAAUCACUUGUGGGGUUAUUAUCUUUUCCCGGACUGUUACAACCAUCACUAUAAGAAACCUGGUUACAAUGGAAGUUGCUUCGAUGUAGAAAUAAAAAGAAAUGAUGAUCUCAGCUGGUUGUGGAAUGAAAGCACUGCCCUUUACCCAUCUAUUUAUUUGAACACCCAACAGACUGCUGUAACUGCUAUGCUCUAUGUGCGCAAUCGAGUCCAGGAAGCCAUUAGGGUUUCUAAAAUACCCAAUGCAAACAAUCCACUUCCAGUUUUUGUAUAUGCUCGCCUAGUUUUUACUGAUCAAGUUUUGAAAUUCCUUUCUAAGGAUGAACUGAUAUAUACACUUGGUGAAAGUGUUGCUCUGGGUGCUUCUGGAAUUGUAAUAUGGGGAAGCCUCAGUAUAAUGAGAAGUAUGAAAUCUUGCUUGCUCCUAGACACUUACAUGGAGACUAUACUGAAUCCUUAUAUAAUCAACACCACACUAGCAGCCAAAAUGUGUAGCCAGGUUCUUUGCCAGGAGCAAGGAGUGUGUGUAAGGAAAGACUGGAAUUCAAGUGACUAUCUUCACCUGAACCCAGAUAAUUUUGCAAUUGAAAUUGAGAAAGGUGGAAAGUUCACAGUACGUGGAAAACCAACAUUUGAAGACCUGGAGGAGUUUUCGGAAAAAUUUUAUUGCAGUUGUUAUACCACUUUGAGUUGUAAGACGAAAGCUGAUGUAAGAGACACUAACGUUGUUGACGUAUGUAUUGCGGAUGGUGUCUGUAUAGAUGCCUCUCUAAAACCUCCCAAGGAGACAGAGGAGUCUUCUCAAAUUUUCUACAGUCCCUCAUCCUCCACACCAUCUGCCACAAUGUUCAUUUGGAGGUUGGAAGUCUGAGAUCAAGGUGUUAGCAGAAUUGGUUUUUCUCUGAGAGUCACGAGGGAAAAAUGUGUUUCAGGUGUCUUCCCUUGGCUUGUAGGAAAUGAGAAAACCAUGACUAUCAUCACCAAAAUCCUUGAGUUUUAAGUGCACCCACUCUCCGAGAUGCUGUGGGGAAAAGGCAAGUUGCAAAGAUAGGCCUUCCUUCAAGAUAGUCAGAUUUUUGUGGUAUUAUUCUCAACCUUUUUGACACCAUAGAGGCUUUGGGAAUCUGAUGAAGCCUAUUGCUCUUUUUCCAGAAGAUAUUUAUAUAAGAUUAUAAGAAAAAUAUGUACACAGCUUAUUUUAUUUCAUUAGAUCAAAAUGUCUUUUAUAAGGAAUUGUGCCUUUUCCAUCAAUUUUAGCAUAAAAAAGUAAUUUCAGGCAAUAUGCUUAGAAAUUGGGGGAGCUAAAAAAGAAAUUCAUAGUGUAUAAAUAAAACUAAAAACAAAUUUUAAUUUUGCU